GCCCGCCUAGCUCAAUCGGAUAGAGCGUCAGACUCUUAUGGCGGAGUAUAUGGAUCUGAAGGCUGCGAGUUCGACCCUCGCGGUGGGCU